CCUACGGGUGGCAGCAGUGGGGGAUAUUGCACAAUGGGGGGAACCCUGAUGCAGCGACGCCGCGUGGGUGAAGAAGCGCCUCGGCGCGUAAAGCCCUGUCAGCAGGGAAGAAAAUGACGGUACCUGAAGAAGAAGCCCCGGCUAACGACGUGCCAGCAGCCGCGGUAAUACGUAGGGGGCAAGCGUUAUCCGGAUUGACUGGGUGUAAAGGGGGCGCAGACGGCGAGGCAAGCCAGGAGUGAAAGCCCGGGGCCCAACCCCGGGACUGCUCGUGGAACUGCGUGGCUGGAGUGCAGGAGGGGCAGGCGUCAUUCCUUGUGUAGCGGUGACAUGCGUCGAUCUCCGGAG
rnacentral:rRNA from 1 species